rnacentral:rRNA from 1 species
GCUAUACAUGCAGUCGAGCGAACAGACGAGGAGCUUGCUCCUUUGACGUUAGCGGCGGACGGGUGAGUAACACGUGGGUAACCUACCUAUAAGACUGGGAUAACUUCGGGAAACCGGAGCUAAUACCGGAUAAUAUUUCGAACCGCAUGGUUCGAUAGUGAAAGAUGGCUUUGCUAUCACUUAUAGAUGGACCUGCGCCGUAUUAGCUAGUUGGUAAGGUAACGGCUUACCAAGGCAACGAUACGUAGCCGACCUGAGAGGGUGAUCGGCCACACUGGAACUGAGACACGGUCCAGACUCCUACGGGAGGCAGCAGUAGGGAAUCUUCCGCAAUGGGCGAAAGCCUGACGGAGCAACGCCGCGUGAGUGAUGAAGGUCUUCGGAUCGUAAAACUCUGUUAUUAGGGAAGAACAAACGUGUAAGUAACUGUGCACGUCUUGACGGUACCUAAUCAGAAAGCCACGGCUAACUACGUGCCAGCAGCCGCGGUAAUACGUAGGUGGCAAGCGUUAUCCGGAAUUAUUGGGCGUAAAGCGCGCGUAGGCGGUUUUUUAAGUCUGAUGUGAAAGCCCACGGCUCAACCGUGGAGGGUCAUUGGAAACUGGAAAACUUGAGUGCAGAAGAGGAAAGUGGAAUUCCAUGUGUAGCGGUGAAAUGCGCAGAGAUAUGGAGGAACACCAGUGGCGAAGGCGACUUUCUGGUCUGUAACUGACGCUGAUGUGCGAAAGCGUGGGGAUCAAACAGGAUUAGAUACCCUGGUAGUCCACGCCGUAAACGAUGAGUGCUAAGUGUUAGGGGGUUUCCGCCCCUUAGUGCUGCAGCUAACGCAUUAAGCACUCCGCCUGGGGAGUACGACCGCAAGGUUGAAACUCAAAGGAAUUGACNGGGACCCGCACAAGCGGUGGAGCAUGUGGUUUAAUUCGAAGCAACGCGAAGAACCUUACCAAAUCUUGACAUCCUUUGACCCUUCUAGAGAUAGAAGUUUCCCCUUCGGGGGACAAAGUGACAGUGGUGCAUGGUGUCGUCAGCUCGUGUCG